GCGGCUCUGGUUCAGGUGGUAGAGUGGGUGUCCACUAAUCGUAGGGUUGGCGGUUCGAUUCCCGGCCUGCA